rfam:Echinostoma caproni strain Egypt genome assembly, scaffold: ECPE_scaffold0008582
GCACUGCUGACGAGUCCCAAACACGACGAAACAGCUGUCCAGUAC